rnacentral:rRNA from 1 species
UACGGGGGGAGCAAGCGUUGUUCGGAUUUACUGGGCGUAAAGGGCGCGUAGGCGGUCAGCACAGGUCAGUUGUGAAAUCUCCGGGCUUAACUCGGAAAGGUCAACUGAUACUGUGCGACUAGAGUGCGGAAGGGGCAACUGGAAUUCUCGGUGUAGCGGUGAAAUGCGUAGAGAUCCGGAGGAACACCAAAGGCGAAGGCAGUGUCCUGGGGAGUACCUGACGCUCAGGUGCGAAAGCCAGGGGAGCGAACGGG